rnacentral:rRNA from 1 species
UGGGGAAUUUUGGACAAUUGGGCGAAAGCCUGAUCCAGCAAUGCCGCGUGUGUGAAGAAGGCCUUCGGGUUGUAAAGCACUUUUGUCCGGAAAGAAAUCCUUGGCUCUAAUACAGUCGGGGGAUGACGGUACCGGAAGAAUAAGCACCGGCUAACUACGUGCCAGCAGCCGCGGUAAUACGUAGGGUGCAAGCGUUAAUCGGAAUUACUGGGCGUAAAGCGUGCGCAGGCGGUUUGCUAAGACCGAUGUGAAAUCCCCGGGCUCAACCUGGGAACUGCAUUGGUGACUGGCAGGCUAGAGUAUGGCAGAGGGGGGUAGAAUUCCACGUGUAGCAGUGAAAUGCGUAGAGAUGUGGAGGAAUACCGAUGGCGAAGGCAGCCCCCAUGGGCCAAUACUGACGCUCAUGCACGAAAGCGUGGGGAGCAAAACAGGAUUAGAUACCCUGGUAGUCCACGCCCUAAACGAUGUCAACUAGUUGUUGGGGAUUCAUUUCCUUAGUAACGUAGCUAACGCGUGAAGUUGACCG